GGUUGUUUUGUUUGAAUGGGAGAUCUCUUAUUUAGAAAAGUUGUAGCGGAUUUCUUUGGGUAAUAUCAAUCCUACUCCUUUACUUUUCCCAGAUGUGAGCAAACUUCUUCAGUCCAACUGCCUGGAAGGUGCUCUCACAGAGAGGGAGAGAGCUGGAAGCAAGCUUCUUGAAAACUGAUAUUUGAAUGGAUUUUGAAUGCCAUUCUGCUUCUAUAAAGCUUCCCAGACUGUGGCAAAAUCACAGCCAGGUAAUAACUGCCUAGGAUCUGGGGCAUUCGGUCGCUGUGUAGGCUCACCUGGAUCCUGCUGGGCUGAGCAGCCAUCUCUGGACACCAGUGUGUGCAGUGGUUGGUGCUGAGAAAUUGCUGGACAGUGGUGCCUCUCGAUGUAUUCCAAGAGGAGGAGGAGUACGAAGGAGUGCUUGGUGGAUAAUGUGACUGCAGCUUUUCCUGGGCACCCCGAGUCCUGACAUGUGGCUGGACACAUCAGCAGUGGCCCACAGGC